rnacentral:tRNA from 1 species
CAAAGUAUAGCUAGUAGUAGUUUAGUAUUUCAUUUACAUUGAAGUGAGUUAUCGUGCAAAUCGGUUUACUUUGAA